AGGACGAACGCUGGCGGCGUGCCUAACACAUGCAAGUGGAGCGACGAACCAGGCUUCGGCCUGGGGCAGAGCCGCGAACGGGUGAGUAACACGUGGGUAACCUGCCCUGAUGAUUGGGACAACCCGAGGAAACUCGGGCUAAUACCGAAUGUGCCCUCCGGCCUCAAGGCCGCUGGGGAAAGGAAGCUUCGGCCUCGCAUCGGGAUGGGCCCGCGGCCCAUUAGCUUGUUGGUGAGGUAACGGCUCACCAAGGCGACGACGGGUA
rnacentral:rRNA from 1 species